rnacentral:rRNA from 1 species
AUUGAACGCUGGCGGCAUGCUUUACACAUGCAAGUCGAACGGUAACAGGCCUUCGGGUGCUGACGAGUGGCGAACGGGUGAGUAAUGCAUCGGAACGUACCCAGAGGUGGGGGAUAACGCAGCGAAAGCUGUGCUAAUACCGCAUGUGAUCUGAGGAUGAAAGCGGGGGACCGAGCAGCAAUGUUUGGCCUCGCGCCUUUGGAGCGGCCGAUGUCGGAUUAGCUAGUUGGUGGGGUGAAGGCCUACCAAGGCGACGAUCCGUAGCUGGUCUGAGAGGACGACCAGCCACACUGGGACUGAGACACGGCCCAGACUCCUACGGGAGGCAGCAGUGGGGAAUUUUGGACAAUGGGCGCAAGCCUGAUCCAGUAAUGCCGCGUGCGGGAAGAAGGCCUUCGGGUUGUAAACCGCUCUUGGCAGGAACGAAACGGUGUCCGCUAAUACCGGGCGCUAAUGACGGUACCUGCAGAAUAAGCACCGGCUAACUACGUG